AUGGACGCAAGUCUGAUGGAGCAACGCCGCGUGAGUGAAGAAGGCUUUCGGGUCGUAAAACUCUGUUGUUGGAGAAGAAUGGUCGGCAGAGUAACUGUUGUCGGCGUGACGGUAUCCAACCAGAAAGCCACGGCUAACUACGUGCCAGCAGCCGCGGUAAUACGUAGGUGGCAAGCGUUAUCCGGAUUUAUUGGGCGUAAAGCGAGCGCAGGCGGUUUUUUAAGUCUGAUGUGAAAGCCCUCGGCUUAACCGAGGAAGUGCAUCGGAAACUGGGAAACUUGAGUGCAGAAGAGGACAGUGGAACUCCAUGUGUAGCGGUGAAAUGCGUAGAUAUAUGGAAGAACACCAGUGGCGAAGGCGGCUGUCUGGUCUGUAACUGACGCUGAGGCUCGAAAGCAUGGGUAGCGAACAGGAUUAGAUACCCUGGUAGUCCAUGCCGUAAACGAUGAAUGCUAGGUGUUGGAGGGUUUCCGCCCUUCAGUGCCGCAGCUAACGCAUUAAGCAUUCCGCCUGGGGAGUACGACCGCAAGGUUGAAACUCAAAGGAAUUGACGGGGGCCCGCACAAGCGGUGGAGCAUGUGGUUUAAUUCGAAGCAACGC
rnacentral:rRNA from 2 species